rnacentral:rRNA from 1 species
CUAUACAUGCAGUCGAGCGAAUGGAUUAAGAGCUUGCUCUUAUGAAGUUAGCGGCGGACGGGUGAGUAACACGUGGGUAACCUGCCCAUAAGACUGGGAUAACUCCGGGAAACCGGGGCUAAUACCGGAUAACAUUUUGAACCGCAUGGUUCGAAAUUGAAAGGCGGCUUCGGCUGUCACUUAUGGAUGGACCCGCGUCGCAUUAGCUAGUUGGUGAGGUAACGGCUCACCAAGGCAACGAUGCGUAGCCGACCUGAGAGGGUGAUCGGCCACACUGGGACUGAGACACGGCCCAGACUCCUACGGGAGGCAGCAGUAGGGAAUCUUCCGCCUGGACGAAAGUCUGACGGA